UCCGUGCAGCUCUGUGCAUCUCUGUGUGGC
rnacentral:piRNA from 1 species